AAUUGUGUCCUAGGAUUUCCAUGGACAUCUGAAUAACUACCUGUCUGUAUACCAAUCAGCAGGGCUUGGACCUUACCCUAGCUCCAUAUAUUCUUUUGGGAGUGUUCCAUGUGAAGCUACCACUAUUUACCUUCUCGUGCAUUUAAUCCAUGCACAUGAACAACAUUGGGGAGACCUACACCUACCUUAUCAGCGAAUGCCAAAUCUUGCAUAAUACCCACUCCUGAAGCCCCUGAUGAUGGUUUGAUAAGAAUCAGAAACGCGUCAGGCAUUAUCUACCAGUCGGAGAGUGUAUUUGAUGUUACAGUUCUUGUAUUGUGUUGUUUUUUCUCUUUGCCACUCGGCACACGCUUUAAUAUAUUUUUUGGUGAUUCCAUAUGGAUAUGGAAUAUGCUUUUUAUGUUUUUAUGUACUUAGGUGCUCUAUGUGCGUUCUGAGCCAAUGUCAACAGGUUCACUUUGUCCGAAUAAAACAUAUUU